rnacentral:tRNA from 1 species
GGUGAGGUGUCCGAGUGGCUGAAGGAGCACGCCUGGAAAGUGUGUAUACGGCAACGUAUCGGGGGUUCGAAUCCCUGUCUCUUAUACA